rnacentral:tRNA from 1 species
UGCCUGCAACGGGAAUCGCACCCAUGACUUUGCUUUGGAAGAGCAAUAUUUUACUCCUAAACUAUACAGGC